UCUGCAUUGGAUAGUUUUGUAUAUUGGGGGAGCGGUGGUGAUAGGGCAAUGCAGGGGAAGGCCUAGAGGUUACGUUUGGAUCUUGGUUUGUGGACAAAUGUGAUUUUUAGGGUAGUUAGAUACUUUCUACUUAAUGUACCUUUAAAAAUAGUACAUUUUCUAUGUUUUAUAUAAUCUGAAACUGUACCUGAAAAAUAAAGUUUAAGACCAAAGAACCCAGAGAAGCAGACUCUAAUGUUCCCAACUGUGCCAACAUGGAAGUUAAAAUGCUGCCAUUUUGAGUGGCAGAGGGGUCAUUUGGUUUCUGAUCAAGGAGAUAAUGUGGUUUUUACAGCAAGCAGUUGAUGUCUGACAGUAUCACGGGACAACCUCCAGUGCCUUUGCCUCCAGUGGAGGUGGGGCCUCCCAGAUGAAUGACCAGCAGCUGCACAAACCUGUGCUUUGAAGGGGUCUCAUACUUGGUUAAUGAUCUGCUAUCAUCAUUUAAAAAUUGUUGUUUUAA